rnacentral:rRNA from 1 species
AUGCGUUCGGCAGCUGAUGCAGACCUUACUACGCAUGCUAAAUUCUUCAUCAACAACCUCAAAGAGACAUGGAACCGUCACUAUGAAAACUCAAAGGUCCAGAUCAGACAUUUUCCAAUUGAGUACAUGGCGACUACGAAGCAAGGUAACACGACGGACUGUGGCUUUCACACAUUUUUAAUACCUUGCAAAGUGGGAAGGUAG